UGAAACCUCUUCUUUCAGCUCAUGUC
rnacentral:piRNA from 1 species